rnacentral:rRNA from 1 species
GCUCACCAAGGCAACGAUGCGUAGCCGACCUGAGAGGGUGAUCGGCCACACUGGGACUGAGACGGCCCAGACUCCUACGGGAGGCAGCAGUAGGGAAUCUCCGCAAUGGACGAAAGUCUGACGGAGCAACGCCGCGUGAGUGAUGAAGGUUUUCGGAUCGUAAAGCUCUGUUGUUAGGAAGAACAAGUGCCGUUCGAAUAGGGCGGUACCUUGACGGUACCUAACCAGAAAGCCAUUGNUAACUACGUGCCAGCAGCCGCGGUAAUACGUAGGUGGCAAGCGUUGUCCGGAAUUAUUGGGCGUAAAGGGCUCGCAGGCGGUUUCUUAAGUCUGAUGAAAGCCCCGGCUCAACCGGGGAGGGUCACUGGNAAACUGGGAACUGAGUGCAGAAGAGGAGUGGAAUUCCACGUGUACGGUGAAAUGCGUAGAGAUGUGGAGGAACACCAGUGGCGAAGGCGACUCUCUGGUCUGUAACUGACGCUGAGGAGCGAAAGCGNGGGAGGNGAACAGGAUACCCUGGUAGUCCACGCCGUAAACGAUGAGUGCUAAGUGUUAGGGGUUUCCGCCCCUUAGUGCUGCAGCUAACGCAUUAAGCACUCCGCCUGGGGAGUACGGUCGCAAGACUGAAACUCAAAAGAAUUGACGGGGCCCGCACAAGCGGUGGAGCAUGUGGUUUAAUUCGAAGCAACGCGAAGAACCUUACCAGGUCUUGACAUCCCCGACAAUCCUAGAGAUAGGACGUUCCCUUCGGGGCAGAGUGACAGGUGGUGCAUGGUUGUCGUCAGCUCGUGUCGUGAGAUGUUGGGUUAAGUCCCGCAACGAGCGCAACCUUGAUCUUAGUUGCCAGCAUUCAGUUGGGCACUCUAAGGUGACUGCCGGUGACAAACCGAGGAAGUGGGAUGACGUCAAAUCAUCAUGCCCUUGACCUGGGCUACACACGUGCUACAAUGGACAGAACAAAGGGCAGCGAAACCGCGAGGUUAGCCAAUCCCACAAAUCUGUUUCAGUUCGGAUCGCAGUCUGCAACUCGACUGCGUGAAGCUGGAAUCGCUAGUAAUCGCGGAUCAGCAUGCCGCGGUGAAUACGUUCCGGCCUUGUACACACCGCCCGUCACACCACGAGAGUUUGUAACACCCGAAGUCGGUGAGGUAACCUUUUAGGAGCCAGCCGCCGAAGGUGGGACAGAUGAUUGGGGUGAAGUCGUAACAAGGUAGCCGUAUCGGAAGGUGCGGCUG